UACGGAGGAUGCAAGCGUUAUCCGGAAUUAUUGGGCGUAAAGCGUCCGCAGGUGGCAAUGUAAGUCUGCUGUCAAAGAAUGAGGCUUAACCUCAUCAAGGCAGUGGAAACUACAUAGCUAGAGUACGGUCGGGGUAGAAGGAAUUCCUGGUGUAGCGGUGAAAUGCGUAGAGAUCAGGAAGAACACCGGUGGCGAAAGCGUUCUGCUAGACCUGUACUGACACUGAGGGACGAAAGCUAGGGGAGCGAAUGGG
rnacentral:rRNA from 1 species